AACGAACGCUGGCGGCAGGCUUAACACAUGCAAGCCGAGCGCCCCGCAAGGGGAGCGGCAGACGGGUGAGUAACGCGUGGGAAUCUACCCAUCUCUACGGAAUAACGCAUGGAAACGUGUGCUAAUACCGUAUACGUCCUUCGGGAGAAAGAUUUAUCGGAGAUGGAUGAGCCCGCGUUGGAUUAGCUAGUUGGUGGGGUAAAGGCAUACCAAGGCGACGAUCCAUAGCUGGUCUGAGAGGAUGAUCAGCCACACUGGGACUGAGACACGGCCCAGACUCCUACGGGAGGCAGCAGUGGGGAAGAUUGGACAAUGGGCGCAAGCCUGAUCCAGCCAUGCCGCGUGAGUGAUGAAGGCCCUAGGGUUGUAAAGCUCUUUCACCGGUGAAGAUAAUGACGGUAACCGGAGAAGAAGCCCCGGCUAACUUCGUGCCAGCCGCCGCAGUAAUAC
rnacentral:rRNA from 1 species